AUGUGUGGGAUUUUGGCCGUCCUCGGCUGCGCCGACUGGUCGCAGGCCAAGAGGGCUCGCGUCCUCUCCUGCUCCCGCAGGCUCAAGCACCGGGGACCGGACUGGUCCGGGCUGUUCCAGUGCGAGGGCAACUUCCUGGCGCAGCAGCGCCUCUCCGUCGUCUCCCCGCUCUCCGGUGACCAGCCCCUCUACAACGAGGACCGGACCGUCGUCGUCGUGGCAAAUGGAGAGAUCUACAACCACAAGAAGAUCCGGAAGCAGUUCGCCGCCAAGCACACCUUCACCACCGGCAGCGACUGCGAGGUCAUCAUCCCUCUGUAUGAGGAGUACGGCGAGAACUUCGUCAACAUGCUGGACGGCGUCUUCUCCUUCGUACUGUACGACACCCGCAACAAGACGUACAUGGCCGCCCGCGACGCCGUCGGCGUCAACCCUCUCUACUUCGGCCGGGGCAGCGACGGCUCCGUCUGGAUUGCGUCUGAGAUGAAGGCGCUCCACGAGGACUGCCCAAAGUUCGAGCUCUUCCCUCCGGGGAACCUCUACUCGAGCGCCGCCGGCGGGUUCCGCCGGUGGUACAACCCGCAGUGGUUCGCCGAGCACGUCCCGGCGACGGCGUACCAGCCCCUCGUCCUCAGGGAGGCGUUCGAGAAGGCCGUCAUCAAGAGGCUCAUGACUGACGUGCCCUUCGGCGUUCUCCUCUCCGGCGGCCUCGACUCCUCCCUCGUCGCCUCGGUGACCAAGCGCCAUCUCAUCGAGACUGAAGCCGCCAAGAAGUUUGGAACUGAGCUCCACUCCUUUGUCGUCGGCCUAGAGGGCUCACCUGAUCUCAAGGCCGCGAGAGAGGUAGCUGACUAUCUUGGAACCAUCCAUCACGAGUUCCAUUUCACCGUCCAGGAUGGCAUCGACGCCAUCGAGGAGGUGAUCUACCACAACGAGACGUACGACGUGACGACCAUACGUGCGAGCACGCCGAUGUUCCUGAUGGCGCGCAAGAUCAAGGCGCUCGGGGUUAAGAUGGUGCUGUCAGGAGAAGGCUCCGACGAGCUCCUUGGCGGCUACCUCUACUUCCACUUCGCCCCAAACAAGGAGGAGUUCCACAAGGAGACCUGCCGCAAGGUGAAGGCGCUCCAUCAGUAUGACUGCCUGCGCGCCAACAAGGCCACGUCCGCUUGGGGACUGGAAGUCCGCGUGCCGUUCCUCGACAAGGAGUUCAUCGACGUCGCCAUGAGCAUGGACCCCGAGUGGAAACUGUACGACGCCAAUCUGGGCCGCAUCGAGAAGUGGGUGCUGAGGAAGGCGUUCGAUGACGAGAAGGAGCCUUACCUGCCGAAGCAUAUAUUGUACCGGCAGAAGGAGCAGUUCAGUGACGGCGUCGGCUACAACUGGAUCGACGGCCUCAAGGCUUUUACUGAGCAGCAGGUGACUGACGAGAUGAUGAAGAACGCCGCAGAGGAGUACCCGUACAACACCCCCAUCAACAAGGAGGCCUACUACUACCGGAUGAUCUUCGAGAGGCUCUACCCUCAGGAUUCGGCGAGGGAGACGGUGCCGUGGGGUCCGAGCAUCGCGUGCAGCACGCCGGCGGCCAUCGAGUGGGUGGCGCAGUGGAAGGCCUCCAACGACCCCUCCGGCCGGCACAUCGCCUCCCACAACGAUGCCGCCCCCGCUCAUGCCCACGCCAACUGGAACGGGGCAGUGGCCAACGGGAAAGCCAACGGGAACGGCACGGCGAACGGGAACGCCAACGCCAACGGGACUCUGGUCCCGUGCUAG
rnacentral:rRNA from 1 species